rfam:Capsella rubella cultivar Monte Gargano unplaced genomic scaffold scaffold_8, whole genome shotgun sequence.
AGCUGUGGAUGAUGAACACAAAUAUCAAAAAAUACAGUUAUCCCUGUCUGAGGAUUUUAAUCCCGUUGAUGAUUGAUUUGUAAUCUGACACAACA